AUUGAACGCUGGCGGCAGGCCUAACACAUGCAAGUCGAACGAGUGGCGGACGGGUGAGUAAUGUCUGGGAAACUGCCUGAUGGAGGGGGAUAACUACUGGAAACGGUAGCUAAUACCGCAUACCAUCGGAUGUGCCCAGAUGGGUGUAGCUAGUAGGUGGGGUAACGGCUCACCGAGGCGACGAUCCCUAGCUGGUCUGGUAGGAUGACCAUCCCAACUGGAACUGGGACCCGGUCCAGACUCUUACGGGAGGCAGCAGUGGGGAAUAUUGCACAAUGGGCGCAAGCCUGAUGCAGCCAUGCCGCGUGUAUGAAGAAGGCCUUCGGGUUGUAAAGUACUUUCAGCGGGGAGGCGUUACCCGCAGAAGAAGCACCGGCUAACUCCGUGCCAGCAGCCGCGGUAAUAC
rnacentral:rRNA from 1 species